ACUCCUACGGGAGGCAGCAGUGGGAAUAUUGGACAAUGGGGGACCGUAGCAUCAGCCAUGCCGCGCUGUGUGAAGAAGGCCUUAUGGUUGUAAAGCACUUUAAGCGAGGAGGAGGCUACUGAGACUAAUACUCUUGGAUAGUGGACGUUACUCGCAGAAUAAGCACCGGCUAACUCUGUGCCAGCAGCCGCGGUAAUACAGAGGGUGCGAGCGUUAAUCGGAUUUACUGGGCGUAAAGCGUGCGUAGGC
rnacentral:rRNA from 1 species